GUGUAUGGCUGUGCGCCCCGUUCUCGGAAGCGUCGACGGGUUUCCGGCAUGCGGAUUUCAGCGUUUGGACUCUACUUUUGGUGAGGAUGUCGAUCGACCUUGGGCCUGGCGACAGCACACCCGACAUCGCCAAAGUGCAGCCUAUCAGUUGAGUGCCCCCGAAUGGACCAUCAACAUUGGAAAAUGAAGCAGAGCCAGGGGGAAAAGGUUCCGGUAACACUGCAUUCAGUAUGGUGGCCCAGACGUGUAUGCAAGCAACCUCCUUCAUGUGGACCAAGAACUACUCUGCAGUGUCUCACAGACUUCCAUGCGAAGCCCUCAACAUUCUCGUCUCAGUGGAAUGGCUGCUCAUCUAUCUGCGUGUCCAUCACCAAGAUGGCCAGUUGUAAAGCUCCUGUACCCGUUUAAGACAGCUUAAUGAUUUUUUUUAUUUAGUUUUCAUGGUUAGCCGUAGAAUCUUAACAUUUUUGAUGUUUCUAACGUUUUUACCUGGCCCAAAGUGGUGCAAUAACUUUAAACCAGUGUAAUGUAUUUAAGUGAUGCUCACUCUAAUGCCUAUCUGGUUUUGUUUGUGUUUAAGAAAUUUGAAUGUCUGAUGAGGUAACAGCAUUUAAACUUGUCAUCGUGGCUCUUUUCAGUGAGCUGCUAGGAAAUAAGAUGCAAAACUUAUCACACGCCAGUUGUAGCAUUUUUGUUUUCAAGACUAAAGUAUACAUGUUUCAAAAGAUGGAAAGUGGGGAAAAAAGCCUCAAGAACAUAAUCAUCCUAGGAUUGUCAUGUCCUUACAACUCUGCAAUGGCUAAUGCCUCAUACAUCUUGGGAGCACAUUGGUCGCAAUGCCUACAGGUAUACUUGAUAAGAGAAUAGCUUGCACUCAGAUUUUCCACGCACUACUAUGUU